CCUACGGGAGGCAGCAGUGAGGAAUAUUGGUCAAUGGCCGUAAGGCUGAACCAGCCAAGUAGCGUGAGGGAAGACUGCCCUAUGGGUUGUAAACCUCUUUUAUGCGGGGAUAAAGGUGUCCACGUGUGGAUGUUUGCAGGUACCGUAUGAAUAAGGACCGGCUAAAUCCGUGCCAGCAGCCGCGGGAAUACGGAAGGUCCGGGCGUUAUCCGGAUUUAUUGGGUUUAAAGGGAGCGUAGACCGGUCUUUAAGCGUGUCGUGAAAAUUUGUGGCUCAACCAUGACAGUGCAGCUCGCACUGGCGACCUUGAGUGCGCGGAAGGCAGGCGGAAUUCGUGGUGUAGCGGUGAAAUGCUUAGAUAUCACGAAGAACCCCGAUUGCGAAGGCAGCCUGCCACAGCGUUACUGACGCUGAAGCUCGAAAGCGCGGGUAUCGAACAGGAUUAGAUACCCGUGUAGUC
rnacentral:rRNA from 1 species